rnacentral:rRNA from 1 species
UUGUAAGGAGCAGUGGAGAGUUAAGAAGAGAGAAUGCCGGAAUGAGUAGCGAGAUUUAAGUGAGAAUCUUAAAGGCCGAAUAUCUAAGGUUUCCAGGGUAAAGCUGAUCUUCCCUGGGUAAGUCGGGGCCUAAGGCGAGGGCGAGAGCCGUAGUCGAUGGAUAACAGGUUGAAAUUCCUGUACUGCUUAUGGACAGAACUGUGGGGACGCAGAAGGAGAGCACGAGCCGGAAAUGGAAAAGCCGGUACAAGCGUAUAGCAGUCAUGCAGGCAAAACCGCAUGAAAAAUGUAAAGCGUUAUGUGGAUCGAACAUUAGUAGAGAAGCGUGUGAGCCAGCUGCCAAGAAAAGCCGCUAUUGUUUCAUAAGUACCCGUACCGUAAACCGACACAGGUGGAUGAGGAGAGAAUCCUAAGGCCGGCGGGAGAAGUGUUGUUAAGGAACUCGGCAAAAUGACUCCGUAACUUCGGGAGAAGGAGUGCCACAGAGAUGUGGCCGCAGAGAAAUGGCCCAAGCAACUGUUUAGCAAAAACACAGGUCUAUGCAAAACCGAAAGGUGAGGUAUAUGGGCUGACGCCUGCCCGGUGCUGGAAGGUUAAGAGGAGAGGUUAGAGCAAUCGAAGCUUUGAAUUUAAGCCCCAGUAAACGGCGGCCGUAACAAUAACGGUCCUAAGGUAGCGAAAUUCCUUGUCGGGUAAGUUCCGACCCGCACGAAAGGCGUAAUGAUUUGGGCACUGUCUCAACAACACACCCGGUGAAAUUGAAAUACCAGUGAAGAUGCUGGUUACCUGCGCCAGGACGGAAAGACCCCAUGGAGCUUUACUCCAGUUUGAUACUGGGAUUCGGUACUGUCUGUACAGGAUAGGUGGGAGGCUAGGAAAUGGUGACGCCAGUUGCCAUGGAGCCAACCUUGGGAUACCACCCUUACAGUACUGGGUUUCUAACCUGCAGCCGUAACCCGGCUGGGGGACAAUGUCUGACGGGGAGUUUGACUGGGGCGGUCGCCUCCGAAAGAGUAUCGGAGGCGCUCAAAGGUUCCCUCAGAACGGUUGGAAACCGUUCGAAGAGUGCAAAGGCAGAAGGGAGCUUGACUGCGACACCGACGGGUGGAGCAGAUACGAAAGUAGGACUUAGUGAUCCGGUGGUAUAAAGUGGGAUUGCCAUCGCUCAACGGAUAAAAGCUACCCUGGGAUAACAGGCUUAUCACUCCCAAGAGUUCACAUCGACGGAGUGGUUUGGCACCUCGAUGUCGGCUCAUCGCAUCCUGGAGCUGUAGCAGGUUCCAAGGGUUGGGCUGUUCGCCCAUUAAAGCGGUACGCGAGCUGGGUUCAGAACGUCGGGAGACAGUUCGGUCCCUAUCCGGCGUGGGCGUAGGAUAUUUGAGAGGAGCUGUCCUUAUUACGAGAGGACCGGGAUGGACAAACCUCUGGUGUAUCUGUUGUUUUACCAAAGGCAUGGCAGAGUAGCCAAGUUUGGCAGGGAUAAACGCUGAAGGCAUCUAAGCGUGAAGCCCCCCUCAAGAUAAGAUAUCCCAUCUUCGGAGUAAGACCCCCUGAAGACUACAAGGUUGAUAGGCUUCAGGUGUAAGUGUGGUAACGCACUCAGCUGAGAAGUACUAAUAGGUCGAGGACUUAGC